AGCGAACGCUGGCGGCAGGCUUAACACAUGCAAGUCGAGCGGGCCCUUCGGGUCAGCGGCAGACGGGUGAGUAACACGUGGGAACGUACCCUUCGGUUCGGAAUAACUCAGGGAAACUUGAGCUAAUACCGGAUACGCCCUUUGGGGAAAGGUUACUGCCGAAGGAUCGGCCCGCGUCUGAUUAGCUAGUUGGUGGGGUAAGUGGCCCACCAAGGCGACGAUCAGUAGCUGGUCUGAGAGGAUGAUCAGCCACACUGGGACUGAGACACCGGCCCAGACUCCUACGGGAGGGCAGCAGUGGGGAAUAUUGGACAAUGGGCGGCAAGCCUGAUCCAGCCAUGCCGCGUGAGUGAUGAGG
rnacentral:rRNA from 1 species